rnacentral:rRNA from 1 species
AUGUUUGACGCUCGUCGGGCCCGCGUCGAGCGCCGGGCCGCUCUCGGUUCCCGCGUCGCCCAGACAGCCCCUGUCGGCGGGCGUCCACGCCGCUCCCCGUCACCUGCCGUCAACGCCGCUACCGGCCCAGCGGGGGACGAGCAGCAAGCAUCGUCUCAGCAUCCGUCUGUGCGGCAAGGCGGCCGCACUGCAACUCCCUCGCUCACUCCAGCUGGUUCUUCGUCCCACGCGCUCCGCGCGCCCAUGGAGGCUCGAGCUGCGCUCAUCGCGGCAAACGAGCUCCUGCGCUACCGUCCCGUCGACGACGUCUACGAAGAAUGGCUCGACCGCGUCGCCGAGCUCGUCCGCGCCGCAAGGGGCUCUCCUGCGCCGUCCGUUCCGCUGCACCGCAACCCGCCCCGCGCGAGCAAUGAAGCUCCGGCGGCGCCCCGGCCGCCUCCUCCUCAGGAAGGCGCCAUGGCUUCAAGGCGCGUGGCCCCUGGGCGGAACCCGCUCCGCCAGGUGCCAGCACGACAAAAGCAGAGCUGCCAAGAAGUCCUUCACCCGCAAGGCAACGCAGGCCUCCCUCCGCUGCCGCCGCAGCCAAGGAGAAACAAGGACCGCCACCAGGACGAGGGGGCUGGGGGCUUCCAGGAGCCGCGCGCGAUCGCCUGCAUCCUGGGCGGGGCUCAAGCCCCAGCCUCCCAACGCAUCUUCAAGCAGUUCGCCCGCGAAGUGAAUGCAGUCCUUCCCAGGCUCGAAGCCACGCGCCCUCUCAGGUGGUCGACGUGCGCCAUCACGUUCAGCUCAGCAGAUCAGCUCAAGUGUGCGGCUACAGCCGGAGUCCUCCCGAUGCUUUGUUCCCCAAUCAUCAGCAACGUGGUGGUCACCAAGACCCUCAUCGAUGGCGGGGCAGGGCUCAACGCCUGUCCGUGA